rnacentral:lncRNA from 1 species
AACCAGAGUUUACCCACUUUAUUGUGAGAAACUGGGAUUCCUUCCAGUAUUUACUAUUAUAAAAUAGCACUACUCAGAAUAUGUUUAUCUGCGUCUCAUUUUCCUUCCUUUGGGUUAUUCUCGUAAAUGAAUGGUCUCUAAAAUACGAUUACCUUGUCAAAAAGCCUGUAUGAUUUAGAUUUAACUUCCAUAUUAAUAGAAGUAUUCCUCCCUCCUCCACUUUUUUCUUACGAGUUGAUAUUUAAUUAGUGAAUGCACAGUUGCUUUGUGGACCUUAAUACGAGACUUUUUCUUUUUUUUUAUUUUUUGAGACGGAGUUUCGCUCUGUCCUCCAGGCUAGAGUGCAAUGGCACGGUCUCGGCUCACUGCAACCUCUGCCUCCGGGGAUGGCACGGUCUCGGCUCACUGCAACCUCUGCCUCCCGGGUUCAAGCGACUCUCCUGCCUCACACUCCCGAGUAGCUGGGAUUACAGGCGCCGGCCACCACACCUGGCUCAUUUUUGUAUUUUUAGUGGAGACUGGGUUUCAUCAUGUUGGCCAGGCUGGUCUCGAACUCCUGACCUCAGAUGAUCCACUCCCGCACUCGGCCGAGACUUUCUUUUUUUAAAACUUGGCCUUCUUGAUGGACACUUGAGUUGUUCCCGCUUUUUGGCCAUUAUGAAUAAUGCUGCUGUGAACAUAUGUGACAGGUUUUUGCGUGGAUGUAUGUGUUCAUAUCUCUUGGGUAUAUACUUAGGAGCAGAAUUGCUGGCUUAAGUGGUAACUAUGUUUAACCUUUUGAGGAACUGCCAAACUUCAAAGUGCUGCACCAUUUUACAUUCCCAUAAGUACUCUAUGAGGGGUCCAAUUUCCCCACACCUCUCAUAGCACUUGUUAAUUUUCUUUUUUUUUUUUUUUGAGACAGAGUCUUGCUCUGUCGCCCAGGCUGGAGUGCAGUGGCUCAAUCUCGGCUCACUGUAAGCUCCGCCUCCCGGGUUCACGCCAUUCUCCUGCCUCAGUCUCCCAAGUAGCUGGGACUACAGGCGCCUGCCACCAUGCCUGGCUAAUAUUUUGUGUUUUUAGUAGAGACGGGGUUUCACCGUGUUAGCCAAGAUGGUCUCAAUAUCCUGACCUAGUGAUCCGCCCACCUCGGCCUCCCAAAGUGCAGGGAUUACACGCGUGAGCCACUGCGCCCGGCCUUGCCUGUUUUUAAAUUGGGCUGUCUUUUUGAGUUGUAGGACUUCUUUAUACAUUCUAGAUACAAGUCUUUAUCACAUCUAUGAUUUGCAAAUAUUUUCUUCCUUGUUCAAUAUAGUUUUUUUUAUCAUGUUAAAAACUUUUCAGAUAUGAUUUUUAGUGUUUUCAUCAUUCUUUUUUACCUCCUUUUUUUUUUUUUUUUUUUUUUUGAGACAGGGUCUCACUCUGUUGCCUAGGCUGGAGUGCAGUGGUGCGAUCUCAGCUCACUGCAACCUCUGCAUCCCGGGUUCAAGCAAUUCUCCUGCCUCAGCCUCCCAAGUAGCUGGGAUUACAGGCACUUGCCACCACGCCCGGCUAGUUUGUGUGUGUGUGUGUUAGAGGCGGGGUUUCACUAUGUUGGUCAGGGUGGUCUCAAACUCCUGACCUCAAGUGAUCCACCCGCCUUGCCCUCCCAGAGUGCUGGGAUUACAGGUGUGAGCCACUGCACCCGGCUCUUUUUUACUUCUUAAUCAGUCUUAUUUAAAUUCCAAAUUACUCAGGUAAAGUAAAAGUCCAUAGUUCUAUUCCAUUCCUCUUCCUAGAAGUAAUCACCAGUUUUGAUGAGUUUAGUUUUUGAUAUUUUCUAUGUAUUUACAAAAUGGGCUCCUGCUGUACGUUUGGUUGUGUAUUAUGUUUAACCAUGUAUUAGAUCUUUCCCUGUGAAUACGUGUACUCUGUCUGGUUUUCUUAACUUCUAUACAAUAUUCCAUGAUAUGGAUGUACCAUACUUUAAUUCAAUCCUCUACUGAUAAACUUGAGGAUUGCUUCUAGGUUUCUCCCUAUUAAAAACAAUCUUGGAAAAAAAUUCUUAUCCAUAUCUAGAGGAGAUAUUUAGAAGUAGAAUGGAUGGCUUGAGGAGCUUUUCAGUAUUAAUAGAUACUACCAUAUUGCCCUCCCAAAAUGUUACACUUUAUACUUUCACCAGUAGUGUAUUAAAAUACUAGUUUCUCUGUACCCUAGUCCAGUGGUCCCUAACCUUUUUGGCACCAGGGACCAGUUUUGUGGAAGACAAUUUUUCCACAGAUCUGGUUGGGGAGAUGGUUUCUGGAUGAUUCAAAUGCAUUACAUUGAUUGUGCACUUUAUUUCUAUUAUGACAUUGGAAUAUAUAAUGAAAUAAUUCUACCACUCAUCAUAAUGUAUAAUCAGUGGGAGCUCUGAGCAACUAGACAAUCCCAUCUGGGGGUAAUGGGAGAGAGUGACAGAUCAUCAGGCUUUAGAUUCUCAUAAGGCACAUGCAAUUUAGAUCCCUUGCAUGCACAGUUCACAGUAGUGUUCACGCUCCUGUGAGAACCUAAUGCCUCUGCUGAUAUGACAAGAGGUGGAGCUCAGGUGGUAAUGCCAGCAAUGGGGAGCAGCUGUAAAUACAGAUGAAGCUUUGCUGCUUGCUCACUGCUCAUCUCCUUCUGUGGGCUCCAGUCUGUGUCCUUGGGGUUGGGGGCCCCUACCCUAGUCCACAUUUAAUGUAAUCAUUUAAACUUUUGACAUUCAGAUUAGGGAAAAAAUAAAUCUUACUUUAAUUGAACAGUUUUUCUCAUGCUCAUUGAUUGUCAUACUUCUGAAUUGCCUAUUCAUCUCCUUAGCCUAUUUUUCUAAAGGAUUCCUUAUAUUCUUAACGAGUUACAGAAGCCCUCUAUUAUCCAGUUCAUCCUUUGUAAUAUAUGUUACAAGUACUUUUAUUUGGUUACUUGUCUUUUUGCUCUGUUAUGAAAGUUUUAAUUGAUACUAUUUGAAAUCUGUCCACUUUUUCUUUGAGGUUUCUGAGUUUUGUGCAGGAAGACUUUAUGGAUGGUGUGAGAUAGGAAUAAAAACAUUUUUUCCUCAAUAACGAGUUGUGCCUGUCUCAUUUAUUUUCCCUAUUAUAAACUUAAAGAUGUUAGUGUUUCUUUUACUGUGGUUUGCUUUCAAGGCGUCUCAAAUAUUUUGAUAUAGAAUACUGGAUUUUUGAACUAAACCUCCCUGCGCCAUUUUCUUUUUAUCUUCCCCACCCCCCAUUCCGCCUUACUAUGUUGUCCUGGCUGGUCUCAAACUCCUGGGCUCAAGAAAUCCUCCUGCCUUGGUCUCUCAAAUGGCUGGGAUUAGAGGUGUGAGCGACUGCACUUGGCUCCACCAUUUUCUUUUUUCUUUUCUUUUCUUUUUUUUUUUUUUUUGAGACGGAGUCUCACUCUGUUGCCAAGCUGGAGUGCAGUGGUGCAAGCUUGGCUCACUGCAACCUCCGCCUCCUGGGUUCAAGCCAUUCUCCUGCCUCAGCUUCCCGAGUAGCUGGGACUACAGGCGUGUGCCACCACGCCCAGCUAAUUUUUGUACUUGUUUUUUAGUGGAGACGGGGUUUCACCAUGUUGGGCAGGAUAGUCUCAAUCUCUUGACCUCGUGAUCCACUGCCUCGGCCUCCCAAAGUGCUGGGAUUACAGGUGUGAGCCACCGCACCUAGCCAUGGCCCCAUCAUUUUCUUUUUUUUUUUUUU